UGUUAUUGUCUUUGUGUCUUCGUGCU
rnacentral:piRNA from 1 species